UACGGGGGGAGCAAGCGUUGUUCGGAUUUACUGGGCGUAAAGGGCGCGUAGGCGGCGCGACAAGUCACUUGUGAAAUCUCUGGGCUCAACCCAGAACGGUCAAGUGAUACUGUCGUGCUAGAGUGCGGAAGGGGCAACUGGAAUUCUUGGUGUAGCGGUGAAAUGCGUAGAUAUCGGGAGGAACACCAGAGGCGAAGGCGGGUUACUGGGCUGAUACUGACGCUGAUGCGCGAAAGCCAGGGGAGCAAACGGG
rnacentral:rRNA from 1 species